GUCCUGUGGUAGCACAUACACUGAAAUUGGAACAACACAUAGAAGAUUAGCAAUUGUCCCCGCAUAGGGAUGCCGCACAAGUUCAAAAGCAUUCCAUAUAUUU
rnacentral:snRNA from 1 species